rnacentral:rRNA from 1 species
AGAACGAACGCUGGCGGCGUGCUUACACAUGCAAGUCGAACGCGAAAGCUUUCUUCGGAAAGCGAGUAGAGUGGCGCACGGGUGAGUAACGCGUAAGUAAUCUGCCCUGGCAUUCGGAAUAACCCACCGAAAGGUGUGCUAAUACCGGAUACGUCUGAUUUAAUCUCAUUAUAUCAGAGAAAGGUAGCCUCUGAAUCAAGCUACCGUGCAAGGAGGAGCUUGCGUACCAUAUAGCUGGUUGGUAGGGUAACGGCCUACCAAGGCGACGAUGGUUAGCGGGUCUGAGAGGAUGAUCCGCCACACUGGAACUGAAACACGGACCAGACUCCUACGGGAGGCAGCAGUGAGGAAUAUUGCGCAAUGGGGGCAACCCUGACGCAGCGACGCCGCGUGGAUGAUGAAGGCCUUCGGGUUGUAAAAUCCUGUCAGAUGGGAAGAAAUGUACCGGUUAUUAAGAGUGAUCGUAUUUGACGGUACCAUCAAAGGAAGCACCGGCUAACUCCGUGC